rnacentral:rRNA from 1 species
GACGAACGCUGGCGGCGUGCCUAAUACAUGCAAGUAGAACGCUGAAGAGAGGAGCUUGCUCUUCUUGGAUGAGUUGCGAACGGGUGAGUAACGCGUAGGUAACCUGCCUUGUAGCGGGGGAUAACUAUUGGAAACGAUAGCUAAUACCGCAUAACAAUGGAUGACACAUGUCAUUUAUUUGAAAGGGGCAAUUGCUCCACUACAAGAUGGACCUGCGUUGUAUUAGCUAGUAGGUGAGGUAACGGCUCACCUAGGCGACGAUACAUAGCCGACCUGAGAGGGUGAUCGGCCACACUGGGACUGAGACACGGCCCAGACUCCUACGGGAGGCAGCAGUAGGGAAUCUUCGGCAAUGGGGGCAACCCUGACCGAGCAACGCCGCGUGAGUGAAGAAGGUUUUCGGAUCGUAAAGCUCUGUUGUAAGUCAAGAACGAGUGUGAGAGUGGAAAGUUCACACUGUGACGGUAGCUUACCAGAAAGGGACGGCUAACUACGUGCCAGCAGCCGCGGUAAUACGUAGGUCCCGAGCGUUGUCCGGAUUUAUUGGGCGUAAAGCGAGCGCAGGCGGUUUGAUAAGUCUGAAGUUAAAGGCUGUGGCUCAACCAUAGUUCGCUUUGGAAACUGUCAAACUUGAGUGCAGAAGGGGAGAGUGGAAUUCCAUGUGUAGCGGUGAAAUGCGUAGAUAUAUGGAGGAACACCGGUGGCGAAAGCGGCUCUCUGGUCUGUAACU